GCGCGAGUGGUGAAAUUGGCAGACACGCAAGUUUUAGGCACUUGUACCUCUGGUGUGAGGGUUCGAGUCCCUCCUCGCGCACCA
rnacentral:tRNA from 1 species